rnacentral:lncRNA from 1 species
AUGGGAAGUAAGAGAACAAUUUUAACAUGUAAUAAUGGAGUUCCUGCCAUUUCUUUUUCUCCACAGGAAGAAACCCAAGCCAAAUCCUGCUCUCCUGAAAAUACUUCUAUGAAGGGCUGGCAAAUCAGAGCUCUCUCAGUAACAGAAAUGCAGCUGAAACAAAUUCUAAUUUCACUGAGGCUGGUGUCAAGGCUAUCAACAGGACCUUAGGAAAUCACUGAUGACAGGUA